ensembl:lncRNA novel transcript
UAGAAAUUCCAUAAGGAUGAAGAUAUUUUUCCGUUGUCUGCUGAAUCCCUGAAGCCUAGCAUGUGUAAGAAGACACAGAAUGCAUAUUCACUGUAUCAUUUAGUCCUGGGCUGCUGAGAGAAAAUGCAAUCUCUAUGACAAAGCCAGCUCCACCUUCUAUCGGUCCCCUACUGUUGGGUGAAUAGUCCUCCAAAUGCUGGCAGGAAGGGGAUUGACUGCUAAGGAAGGAAAUCUCAGGCACUUCUCAUAUCUGAAAGGAAGGCACAGGAAGAGCCGCAGGAUGGAACUCAGACUGGAUGAAACUGGGAAGAUUUUGCUAGACAGAAAUUAGAAACGCUCCUACAAAGAAACUGAAGUUCCAUGAACAUGCUGUUGCCACCCUGCAAUUUAGUGUCAUACUCUACUUGUAACUCUCACCUAACAAUGUGUCAUCUUUACUUUUUAUGUUAUUUAUUUACAAGUGCAUUUUCAGUAUCAACCCCUUCAUUCAUUAAUCCUAAUGUGGCCUUUUCCAAUGUCUACUUACCAUUUUAAAUACUUACCAUAAUUUACAGGGCUUUCUUGAACAUAUCCAAGGUAUAUUAUAUGAGUCUAGCUUAAUGGAAAGUCUUGUAUACCAAAGCAGGAAAAAAAACACAUUUAAUUUAUGAUGGCUUUGAAUUUUGAUCAUAAUUUACUCCUGGAGACCUAUUCACACAAAGCAAUACCAAUACAAUUUUUCAGAAGCAAUAAAAAAUAAAACAAUAAA